CAAUAUUGCUAUGAGAAUCAAUCAGGUAGCAAUAUGAAUCAAUUGGUGAGACUUUUUGUCUUCCUUUUCGCUAUUAUUCUCAUGUCAGAUUACUUCAUUACGCUGGCUGACGCUAAGUGCGUCUGUAAAAAUGGGCGCCCGGCUCCUGGUUAUAUACACCCGAUUUGUAUAAGAGUCUGUAUGAUCCAAGGAUAAAUAUAUAUGACGAUAUGGCACAUCACUGUUAUAAAUUUUUCUUGUGUGAUUGGGCAGUAUUAGAAAAUAGAGCAUAUACUUAAAGUAUACUAAAUUCCAACAAGCUCUAGGAUAAAUAUAUAUAACGAUAUGGCACACCACUAUUAUUAAUUUUUCUUGUGUGAUUCAGUAGUAUUAGAAAAUAGAGCAUACUUACAAAAAACAUA
rnacentral:lncRNA from 1 species